GCGCUCCCUCCCGCCCUCUCCCGCUCCGGGCUCGGGUUUCUAGGACUGCCUGGAGAAGUGUGUCUUGUGCACAGCUCUGGAAUGCAUUUGGCAGGCUGACGAGCAGCGAGGGGCAGCAUCCUGGAGGGAGGAGGGGUGCAGCUCGCCCGCGCGCCGCCGGCAGGUUUCCUCCCGGCCUGGAAGACCUCCGGCACCCGCCACUCGGCCUCCCGGCGCGCUAACCUUGCCCAGCCAGCAGACCUGCUUAGAGCAUCCAAUCGCAUGCGGGGCCUGCUUAGGGUCAGAGAGUUUAUUCCUUCACCAUAGGUUCCAGAGAAAGCUAUCCCCAGAUGCAAGUGAUUGCUAGGAAGUAGAAAAGGGAGCCCUACGUUGUGGAAGGAAGACAACAGUAUAGGACCAUCAGCAGGACCGGACAGAGAGGGGCACCCCUGGCUGUCCUGGAACUUGUAGACCAGGCUGGCCUUGAACUCAGAAAUCCGCCUGCCUCUGACUCCCGAGUGCUGAGAUUAAAGGUGUGCACCACCACACCCGACAAGGAAGCCUGUUUUAAGAAGUGAUUCCAUGGAGGAGUUCUGCGGCGGCUCAGGGCUUGACUAAACAGUGGACCUCAGACAAGAGAGGCUAAACCAGGCUGCAGGUGACAGGAAGAAUUGAAUAAACUGAAAGCAAAGGGCAGCCUUCUAAUUACGCUUCGUGGCUAUGUGGACAACCUGGAGAAGUCUGGAAACCCAGCCCCACCCCAUCACAUUCUUACUCCUUCCCUUUCCAAGAAAGAAGCCAGAAGCCCGAAGCCAGCAGUAGAGCUCUGACUGGCUUGUAUGCCUAGAAAGGAAGGGCUCUUCUUUCGCCUCACGGGCACAAAUGGGACCCACGAGCGCCGAUUUCAGACUAUUCUGAUCCCUUCAAAAAGAAAGUUAGGAGUCCAGGCUACUGUGAGUGAAUUUGAUUCUAAUUGUUUCAGAGAAUAUGGAAUAAAAUAUCUCAUUUGCAGUUGUUUA
rnacentral:lncRNA from 1 species